rnacentral:rRNA from 1 species
CAAGUCGCACGAGAAAGUGGAGCAAUCCAUGAGUACAGUGGCGUACGGGUGAGUAACACGUGGAUCAUCUACCUUUUAGUGGGGAAUACCCCCGGGAAACUGGGGAUAAUACCGCAUAAGCUCGAAAGAGGAAAGCAGCAAUGCGCUGAAAGAGGAGUCCGCGGCUGAUUAGCUAGUUGGUGAGGUAAUGGCUCACCAAGGCGAAGAUCGGUAGCCGGCCUGAGAGGGCACACGGCCACACUGGCACUGAAACACGGGCCAGACUCCUACGGGAGGCAGCAGUGGGGAAUCUUGCACAAUGGAGGAAACUCUGAUGCAGCGACGCCGCGUGAGCGAUGAAGCCCUUCGGGGUGUAAAGCUCUUUCGACGGGAACGAUGAUGACGGUACCCGAAGAAGAAGCUGCGGCUAACUACGUGCCAGCAGCCGCGGUAAUACGUAGGCAGCAAGCGUUGUUCGGAAUUACUGGGCGUAAAGAGUGUGUAGGCGGUGCUCUAAGUCUGUUGUGAAAUCUCCCGGCUUAACUGGGAGGGUGCGGCGGAAACUGGAGUGCUCGAGGAUGGGAGAGGUAAGCGGAAUUCCUGGUGUAGCGGUGAAAUGCGUAGAUAUCAGGAGGAACACCUGUGGUGUAGACAGCUUACUGGACCAUAUCUGACGCUGAGACACGAAAGCGUGGGUAGCAAACAGGAUUAGAUACCCUGGUAGUCCACGCCCUAAACGAUGCAUACUUGGUGUGAGCGAUUCAUUUCGUUCGUGCCGGAGCUAACGCGUUAAGUAUGCCGCCUGGGGAGUACGGUCGCAAGGCUGAAAC